rnacentral:lncRNA from 1 species
CCCGAGAAGAUACUGUUCUUGACAUAUGAGGAAAUGAAGAAAGACACCGCUGCUCAUGUUAAGAAAUUAGCUGAGUUCAUGGGUUGUUCUUUCACCCUAGAGGAAGAGGAGGAAGGGGAGGUGCAAAAGAUAAUAGGCAUGUGUAGUUUUGAGAAGUUGAGCAACUUGGAGGUGAAUAAAAAUGGGAAGUGCCUUCUAGACAUAUCAAUUCCUAUUCCAAAUAGUAUAUUCUUCAGGAAAGGUGAGAUAGGCGACUGGGCAAAUCACUUGACACCUGAAAUGGGAGCACGUCUAGAUGACAUAAUGGAGCGGAAGCUCAAGGGUUCAGGCUUGAAGCUGCCCAGGUGACUGUGCCUGGGCCCCGUUUGCUUAUUAUUAUUGGCUUAGUGGGUUCGUCAAAAGCUGUUAUCAACAUCUCGUGAAACAGCAACCGUGUAUCCCAAUAAAUACCCUCUCUGUUCAUCUCUUGUAUUUCCUAGCAAGUAUUCACAUUUUGUGAAUCAUCCAUGUCAAUAAGCAAUAUUCUUUUGUGAAUCUGUGUUUGUAACUUUCAUUGAUUUCCUUGCAAGUUUGUAAGAAUUAAAAAUGGGAUUCGUUUUUUAUUUAUUUAUUUAACACAAGUGCAUGCAUUCCAUUAAUCAGUGAUAAAAAAAAAUAAAAUUACUCUACUAUAUAAUAUUAGAGUGUUUUCUUCACAGAAAUUGCAGUGUGUUUUCUUCACACUGCAAUACAUGUUUUAAAAGAACCGAGACAACCAUACAUGAGGGCGGAGCAAAUACCAACCGAGACAACCAUCCAUUAAGAUUGUUGAAUUGAAGAUCAAAUGAACAUAGGCGGCACAUCUGCUGAAAGGAUCUCGAAAUGCCUUGUAAUUGGUUAAAAUAAAGAUCAAGAUCUGUAGGAGAACUCGUGUUUUCCACUCCUAAAAUAAGCCCAGUUGCCGGCUUCAUGUGCAACAGAGGCACAUAGAGAAUCUCCCCCCCCCCCCCUCCAGGCUCAGAUCACAAAUCUUCUUACUUCAAACCAAUCUUUUGGAACCGAUAUAUAUGUCGAGUGAUGGCUUGAUUUAUACCGGAGAUUGUGUUGGAAAAUUAAAGAAGCAUGGCUUAAUUUGUACCUUGGAUGCGCAAAUUGAUUACAGGAAAAUAUCAAAAAAAAAUUUCCUUUCUUUAUAACUUAUGAAGAGUAAAAUAAAAAAAAAGUUAAUAGUAAAACAAAAUAACCCCAAGUGUACAUUAUCAAUGCAAAACUAGAUUUUUCCUUAUUUUAUAUCCCUUUCUUUUGAUAUACUUCUUCUUUUAUGCCCCUUUCUUUUGGUAUAUCUCUUCUUUGUAUCUUUUGGUGUUAAUCACUUUGUUGAAUGCCUCUGUUGAUAUCUUUUAUAACUCACUACAGUGAUUUGAACAUUGAAAAUGUUUCCUUUUAAAAAAAAAAAAUAGAGAAGGCAUUUUGAUUUCAUCUUCAAUUUUUCUGCAUGUCUUCUUCUUUCAAAGUAUUGGGUUUAAAACACAAUCAUGCUCUACAUCAUGCUUUGAGUUUUCCAGGUUAUUUUCAGAAAGAUUUGAUAUAUUUGACCUGAAAGAAAAAAAGGAUGUACAAAGCUUUGCAUUUCUGGAACGUCUUUUCAUCAUGCUCUACAUGAUUCAAUCACAUUGCUCACAUCUACAUGAGUAACCAGAAAAGCAAGUAUUUCAUCGGAUUCUACAUGAUUCGAUCACUUCGCUCACAGCUUUAUGAGUCUCUGGUGAUAUCGUGUUUAAUUAAAUAGAAUAUUUAUUAUAAGAAACAGAUUUAUCAAAUAUAAUUGAGUAUAUGCCUCAUCAUAUCAAAUAUUUUAAUUAGAUGUAACUAUCUAGGUGGUGGUUCAGUGGUAAAAGUUUGGGACCAAGAUGUUUGUUCCCUCUGUGGUCUCAGGUUCGAGCCCUGUGGUUGCUCAUAUGAUGGUCAUUGGAGGCUUACAUGGUCGUUAACUUCAGGGCCCGUGGGAUUAGUCAAGGUGCACGCAAGCUGAUCCGGACAUCCAUGUUAAACUAAAAAAAUAUAUAUAUUUUAAUUAGAUGCGUGUGUACAAGUAUUUUAAUUUAUGAUUAAGAAUUUUUUUAUAUCAAAAAAAAAUUAAAAAGUCUGUAUAUUUAUUUUUCCUUGUUAAAACAAUUAUCUGAAAUAGCCAGUAAUCAACUAACUAUGAAAGAUAAGAUUGAGAAUUGAGAAGUUUAUUUGUCAGCAGACAGUAGCUUCAGUAGAUGGAAAAAGACUCUCUAGAUCACCGGAUCAAUUCCCACCUUCAUGAACUAUUUUUUAUUAGUACAGAAAGCUUCAUAUCAGUCAAAACUCUCUCUCUCUCUCUCUCUCUCUCUCUCUCUCUCUAAAUGGAUCAGAGACUACACAAAUAUAGAGGUGGAGCUUCACAUUAAGCUUCAGAUCAAUUUUCUAUUUUAAAAUCUCAUAAGUUUGGUCCAUUGAUUGCCCUAGAUUGCCCUAGAUUUUCCUGUGUUUUAUAUCCUUUUCUUUUGACAUUUUUUUUAAUCUUUUUCCAGGCCAAAAUCCUAAUUUAAUGUUUGAAAUUGAGAUGAUAAUUAUUUAACUAGAAAAUAUAUUAAAAUAAUAUUUUUUAUUUUUAAAAAUUUAUUUUAAUCAUCACCACAUUAAAACAAUCUAAAAUUAUAUAAAAAAAUUAAAAUAAUAAGAUUUAAAAAUAUUUUUUAAACACAAAAACAAACACAAUCAUCACUCAUAUAUCAUGAGAUUUGCAUUUAGACAUUAAAAUUCAAGAAGAAAUUAAGUUCACCGUACUAUUAAUUCAGUCGAUGAAGGAUUAGUCCCAACUACUUUAGGCCACCAUUAAUUACUUUAUUUAAAUGUAUACUUCUUUAUUAAUUCAGUCGAUGAAGGAUUAGUCCCAACUACUUUGGGCAUUUUAACUCCAUCUUCAAUUACUUUAUUUAAAGGUAUCCUUCUUUCUUAGAUAUUGAAUUUUGAAAACACAAUCAUGCUAAAGAUUUGUCAACGAAUUGUUUUUUAAAAUAAAAAAAUAUUUUAAAAAAUAAUUAAUACCAUACUACCGAGCAAAUGAAGUUAUGUGGAGGGUUCCGCACCAUUUAAAGGUUGUAAAGAAAGGUUUAAAACACAAUGACGAUAAAGAUUUGCUAUCGAAUAUAAUAUGAAAUAAUAAUACCCAAUUGCAUCAGCGGACAUGUGAUCAACAAUAUUAAAAUUCUGUAAAUUUUGAUUUAAUUCAAUUAUUGGAAUUCCAGGCAGCGUGGCAAUGUCAGAAAAUCUUGGACGAUGGUGACUAAAUGUUUGUAAAUGGAGACGGCACGUUCGCGGAAGGUAAUAGUCGAUGGUGCCAAAAAUUAAAUCAGCUCUCAACUCGUUACAAAUAGCUGCCAUGGCCUUUCAUUCUACAUUAUUUUUUCUUUUUUCACAUUCAUGGAAUCCUCUUUGCCUUCCACCCAAAUCUUGGAUUCUGGUGAAAGUGCUGAGAGGAAAAAUGAAGCUAAAAAUUACAAUGAAGUCAUGUCCACCCUUCCAAAAGUAAAAGGCUUGAAUGGGUGUGAUUAUUACCUGUACCAAUGCUUUUGGUACGAUCCCUCCUUCUUGGAAGGAAUCAUGUCUGUUCAAGAGCGCUUCAAUCCUCAAUCCACUGAUAUAUUUCUCGCCAGUUUUCCAAAAACUGGCACAACUUGGCUUAAGGCCCUCACUUUUGCUAUUUGUACACGAUCCCGUUUAAGUGGUUCAACAACUAGUUCUUUACUUUCCAAGAUGCCACAUGACUGUGUUCCUUUUAUGGAAUAUGACCUUGCUCAGAACCCAAGUAAUCGGGACUUGGCAAUUCCUCUGGUAUCUACUCAUGUUCCUUACACUUGUUUACCUAAAUCUAUCAUUUCUUCUUGUUGCAAGAUUAUUUACAUUUGCAGGGACGCAAAGGAUGUUUUUGUUUCUUUGUGGUACUUUCUUGCCAGGCUGCAAAUGUCUGAAAAUGUUGAGCCUCUUCUUCUGGAAGAGGCUUUUGAGUUGUUUUGCAAUGGAAUUGCAAAUUUUGGACCCUACUGGAACCAUGUUUUAGGGUACUGGAGAGCAAGCUUGGAGUUCCCCGAGAAGAUACUGUUCUUGACAUAUGAGGAAAUGAAGAAAGACACCGCUGCUCAUGUUAAGAAAUUAGCUGAGUUCAUGGGUUGUUCUUUCACCCUAGAGGAAGAGGAGGAAGGGGAGGUGCAAAAGAUAAUAGGCAUGUGUAGUUUUGAGAAGUUGAGCAACUUGGAGGUGAAUAAAAAUGGGAAGUGCCUUCUAGACAUAUCAAUUCCUAUUCCAAAUAGUAUAUACUUCAGGAAAGGUGAGAUAGGCGACUGGGCAAAUCACUUGACACCUGAAAUGGGAGCACGUCUAGAUGACAUAAUGGAGCGGAAGCUCAAGGGUUCAGGCUUGAAGCUGCCCAGGUGACUGCGCCUGGGUCCCAUUUGCUUCUGAUUAUUGCCGAAGUGGGUUCAUCAAAAGCUGUUAUCAACAUCUCGUGAAACAGCAACUGUGUAUCCCAAUAAAUACCCUCUCUGUUCAUCUCUUGUAUUUCCUAGCAAGUAUUCACAUUUUGUGAAUAAUCCAUGUGAAUAAGCAAUGUUCUUUUGUGAAUCUGUGUUUGUAACUUUCAUUGAUUUCCUUGCAAGUUUGUAAGAAUUAAAAAUGGGAUUCGUUUUUUAUUUAUUUAUUUAACACAAGUGCAUGCAUUCCAUUAAUCAGUGAUAAAAAAAAAAAAAUUACUCUACUAUAUAAUAUUAGAGUGUUUUCUUCACAGAAAUUGCAGUGUGUUUUCUUCCCACUGCAAUACAUGUUUUAAAAGAACCGAGACAACCAUACAUGAGGGCGGAGCAAAUACCAACCGAGACAACCAUCCAUUAAGAUUGUUGAAUUGAAGAUCAAAUGAACAUAGGCGGCACAUCUGCUGAAAGGAUCUCGAAAUGCCUUGUAAUUGGUUAAAAUAAAGAUCAAGAUCUGUAGGAGAACUCGUGUUUUCCACUCCUAAAAUAAGCCCAGUUGCCGGCUUCAUGUGCAACAGAGGCACAUAGAGAAUCUGAAAGCAGUUUUUAUGCACUAUCAGCAGAAUAAUUUGAUCAGUCAGAAUGAUCCCCCCCCCACUAGGCUCAGAUCACAAUUCUUCUUACUUCAAACAAAUCUUUUGGAACCGAUAUGUGGAGGGAUGGCUUGAUUUAUACCGGAGAUUUUGUUGGAAAAUUAAAGAAGCAUGGCUUAAUUUGUACCUUGGAUGCGCAAAUUGAUUACAGGGAAAAAAAUGACAGAAAGUGAGUUGCAGGGAAUGAAAAAGGCAUUAGUAAACUCAACAGCUUGCAGGGCAUCGUUCCUUGGUUUACUCCGUUUUAUUUCUUAUUUUGUUUUUCCUGCCAUUGUCUUAUGUUUGUCUAACUCGCAGUCUGGUCUCUGCAGAGAAUGAGAAAGCACAGACUCUUUAAGAGAAGAUAUUCUCCGGCAAUGGCAUCAAACAGAAAAGUCCGACGUUAACUAAAUGAGUUCAUGGGUCUCUUGUCUGAAUAUAGAAGUGCAGAAACUAAGCUUGACCAAAAACCCCCAUGCUACCAACUACAACUCAACAAGCAACAAAUCAAAUGAAUUGUGAUCCGCCAGUAAACAGCGAAUGGACACUGCCCCAGCAAUAGAUCAUACAAGCUCUGACCAACCGGUCAAAGAUCACGAGGACCCUACCCACUGCCCACUGACUGACAAUUCAUCAAAUAGAUUUAUUGCCGUUCACCACCUUAUUUAGAUGUAUUUUUAAAUAAUAUCCGUGAACUCAAAAAAAAAUCACUCAAAUAUCUCCCUAGAAAACUGACCUUGAACUCUUAACUAGGAGAAAAACAAAGAGGAAAAAUAGAGCUUAUAACAUAGGAAACUACGCUGAAAACUGAGGUGAAAAAAAGUGUAAGAAAUUCUGUAAAAAUGUCCAGAAACACUUUUUAUCACUUUUUACAGAGGAUUUUGAAACCUAAACCAAUGUAGAUUUACUUUUAGUAAUUAUUAAAAAUUAAUUUUUAUCAUUAUCAAUCUUAAUUAUCCGUUAUAAAUUAAAAUUAACCUUAACCCUUUUAGCUUUAAAUAUAAUGCUUUGUUAGAAUUAUAAAAACCAUUCAAAUUGAAAAAAAUUGCUUAGGCUGAAAAAAGUGUUCAGACUCUAUAUUCAUUGACAGUACAAACUGAUGGAUUAGAAAGAAAAAAAAUAUAUAGGCCAAAAAAUUAUAAAUCCAAACCCAAGUUUAAAAUAUAUUGAUAAAAAUUAAUUAUUUAUAGUUUACAAUAAAAUCAGACUUGGGACAAGCAAGCCAAUUAAGCAUGGGACUUCAACUCAAAGUUUACUUUACUUAGGUUUUUUUUUUUAAUCUGAGUGUAUUUUAAUCCAAUUUUAAUUCUUUAUAUUUUUAAUAUAUAAUUAACAAUAAAAAUGUUGUUUUUUUUACGUGAAAUAAAGGUUUUGAAUUUCACAAAGAUAUAUUCAUCAACAAAAUUAAAUUUUUAUUUAUUUAUAAUUUAUUUUAAUUAUUUUAAUAUUUUAUGUUAAAGAGAUUUGGUUGGAGAAUAAGUUUCAAUAAAAUUUAAAUCCGAAAAAUAAGUAGAUUUUAUUUUUAAUUUUAUUUCAAAUAUAUUUAUUUUUUAUGUUUUAAAACAAAUUUUAUCUCAUCUAUGUAUGUAUAAAUAUAUAAUCACAAUUCUCAAUACAGCACUUAUAGUUAGUUAUCGAACGAAAGAAUGUUAUCUCUUUCAGUAUGCCACAGAUAUUCAAAACACGGCGGUCACCCUUAUUAGCUUGCAGUCGUCUAUCGAAGUAUUAUCGCCAAAUCCACAGAAGCAAGGCAAACCACAGUUUUCUCUAGUUAUAGGACUAGACGGUACUGCGCUAGACUGCAGGUUUACAAUAUUUUUUCGAUAAAAUAUUUAAAUCAUGAGAAAAUCAUGCAUGAUUAAAAGAGUAAAAUUCAAAUUAAAAAUAUCAAUACAUGACAAAAUAAAAUUAAAAAAAAUUAAAUAAAAUUUUUAUAAAAAAACUAGAAUAAAAGAGAGGACUGAAACCGAAAAAGUUUAAACAAAAAGGACAUACCUGCAAUUUGAGGGGGGGAGGGAGGAGGAGAAAAAAAAAGGUUCAUCAACAACGAACUGCUCGACCUUCACCUACAUGUAUCGCACCAUGAGAAAGAGGAAGCAGUGAUGCUUCCAACAACACAAUAAAAUGUUUAUUUUUACAACUAGAGGUAUUGCAUGCUAUACUUGAAGUGCUAGCUUUUUAAAUUUUAAUAUUAUUUAUUUUUUUGUUAAAAGAUUACAAUGCGCAAACUAAAAAGAAAAACAAUAUAAAAAGAUAAAGUAUAACCUUGACCUAAAGCUUUUCUUUUUCUUUUUACUUCAAGGAUAUUUAAGUAAGUUUAGUGUACAUUCAAAAGCAUUUAAUGAAAUACCCUUCGACCAAGGUUUUUUUUUUUUUUAAAGUAUAAGACACUUAACAAAAUAAUAAAUAACAAAAAUUAAAAACUUAAAAAGACAAAAAAUACCCUUCGACCAAGGUUUUUUUUUUUUACUCCAAAGCAUUUAAUGAAUCUCGCCCAUAACGACAGCAAGUCUUUAAAAAGUGGAUUUCCUGAUGAAACCUGGAUAGUAUCAGUGCCAGCUCGAGCUCAGAAUGCGGCAUCUAUUGAUUAACUUACCAGUUACCAACACAAGGAGACACACACAACAACUUUAAAAAGGGCAUUAUAUAGCUAAACAUUGAUUAUUAUUUUUAUUUCAUUUUUAAUAUUAUAUUAAUUUUAAAUAUAUAUAUUUUUAAUUUCUCCAUUCAAUAACAAGUUGAAAUUCAUAAUUUUAUUUAAUUCAUUUCUUAUAAUAAUUUUUUUCCCAUCGUUUAAUUAAAUAAAAUAUUUAUUAUAAAAAAUAAAAUUAUUAAACAUAAUUGAGUAUAUGGCUUGUAUUUUUAGGUUAAAUAUUGUAAUUAGAUGUGGGUAUAAGCAUUUUAAUUUAUAAUUAAAAAGAAAAACUAUAUCCAAAAAAGAAUUUAAAAAACCUGUAUAUUUAUUUUUCAAUUAUCUAACCUGCAGCAGUGAAGUGCAAUUGAAAUAGCUAGUAAUCUAACUAAAAAAUUUAAGAUAAGAUUAAGAAAUGAGAAGUUUAUUUGUCAGCAGACAGUAGCUUCAGUAAAUAGAAAAUAUAGACUGUACUGCUGCUGAUCCCGGGAUCAAUGCCCACCUUCAUGGAUUAUAUAUAUAUAUAUAUAUAUAUAUAUAUUCAAUGUGAGAUAUUAAGUCAUUUAGUACAUACUAGUUAGAUGACUUGUGCGGUGCUGCGAGUUAAUUUUUUUUGCAUAAAAAUAUAUAAAAAAACUAAAAUCUAAAAGUAUUAGGUCUUUUUGCAAAGUUAUACCCAAGAAUCUUGGGUUUGGCUGCAACGCCUGACCCAAGAGUAAUAUUUAUAAUAUUAAUUAUAACAUUAAACUUGCAUGACUCAAGUUUAAAUGAGUCUAGAUGCAAUACCAUACCCAAUAGUCUUGGAUGUGGGUCUGGCUGCAAGGUCGUGUAAUAAAAGUGUGAUAAUUAAAUAGAUUAAUUAAAAAUAAAAAAAACAAAGAAAAAAACAAACAUGAAGAAAAAAACUAAUGAAGAAAAAGAAAAAAAAUUUGAAUUAACUGGGUUAACCCUUCAAACCAGGUUAAUCCGUCAAACCUUGGAUUCGUGUCGUGAAAGUUUGAUAACUAAAUAAAAAAAAAAUGAACAUUAACAAACUAAAUUAAAUGAAAAAAAUAAUUAAAAAAAAAAGCAUCAGCCUUUUCACUGUGGACUGCACUGUGCAGUCCACAGUCAAAUGCAUAAAAACAACAAAAAAGCAAAAAGAAAAACUAAAGGCAUCAAUCGAUAACUAAAUAGAAAAAAAAUUUAAUAUUGAUGAACUAAAUUAAAUAAAAAAAAUUAAAUAAAAAGAAGAAAAAACUUAUAAGAAGAAAAAAACUAAUGAAGAAAAAGAAAAAAAAUCUAAAUUAACUGGGUUAACCCGUCAAACCUGAGAUCCGUGUCAUGAAAGUCUGACAACUAAAUAAAAAAAAUUUAAUAUCAAUAAACUAAAUAAAAAAAUUAAUUUAAAAAAAAGGCAUCAGCCUUUUCACCGUGGAUUGCACUGUGCAGUCCAUAGUGAAAGGCAUGAAAAUAAAAAAAACAAAAAAAAACUAAAGGCAUCAGCCUUUUCACUGUGGACUGCAUAGAAUAUUAAAAGAUGAAAUCGGAAGAACAAAACUAAUGAGGAAAAAGAAAAAAAAAAUCUGAAUCAACUAGGUUAAUCCGUCAAAUCAAGUUAACCCGUCAAACUUGAAAGUGUGAUAACUAAAUAGAAAAAAGAUUUAAUAUUAAUGAAAUAAAUUAAAAAAAGAUUAAUUAAAAAGGAAAAAAGCAAAGAGAAAAAAGACCAACAGGAAGAAAAAAACCUAAUGAAGAAAAAGGAAAAAAAUCUGAAUUAAGUGGGUUAACUGGUCAAACCUGGGAUUCGUGUCAUGAAAAUCUGAUAAUUAAACAGAAAAAAUUUAAUAUUAAGAAACUAAAUUAAAAAAAGACUAAUUAAAAAAAGACAAAAAAAAACUAAAGGCAUCAGCUUUUUCACUCUUAAAAAGGAAAAGAGAGAAAAAUAAAAACAAAAGCAAACGCCACGGGUUAAUUUUUUUUUUCUUGCAUAAAAAAUAUUAAAAAAAACUAAGAUCUAAGAGUAUUAGGUCUUUCUGCAAAGAUAUGCCCAAGAGCCUUUGGUUUAGUUGCAACGCUUGACCCAAGAGUAAUAUUUAUAAUAAUAAUAAUAAUAAUAAACUUACAUGACUCAAGUUUAAGUGAGUCUGGCUGCAAGGUCGUGUCAUAAAAGUGUGAUGAUUAAAUAUAUUAAUUAAAAAGAAAAAAACCAACAUGAAGAAAAAAACUAAUGAAGAAAAAGAAAAAAAUAUGAAUUAACUGGAUUAACCCUUCAAACCAGGUUAACCCGUCAAACCUGAGAUUCAUGUUAUGAAAGUUUGAUAACUAAAUAGAAAACAAAAUUGACGGGUUAACCUGUCAAGCCUGGGAUACGUGUCAUGAAAGUCUGAUAAUUAAAUAGAAAGAAAUUUAACAUUAACAAAAUAAACUAAACGAAAAAAAAUUAAUUUAAAAGAAAAAAAGUAAAAAAAAAAUUCUAGGUUAACUCAUCAAACCAAAUUAACCCAUCAAAUCCGGGAUCCGUGUCAUGAAAGUCUGAUAACUAAAUAAAAAAAAUAACAUUAACAAACUAAAUUAAACAAAAAAAAUUCAUAAAAGAAAAAAAAACACAGAAAAAAAACAAAAAAAACAUAAAGGCAAAAAAAACAAAAACAAAAUUAAGUGAGAAUUACUGAUGUGCUUUGCCAAGCUUUGCAACAGAAAUCUCAAGACAUUUUAAAUGCUAUGCAUUUGCUGACUACCAUAAAGACUUUAAUUCAGAAGUUAAGAGAUGAUGGAUUGGAAACUCUUUUAGAACAAGUGACAUCAUUUUGUAAGCAUAAAAACAUUGAAGUUCCUGAUAUGGAUGCUUGUUUUUCUAGUGUGGGACGAUCUCGCUGUAAAACAAAAUCAAUAACAGUUGAGCAUCACUAUCGAGUUGAUAUAUUUAUAGCUAUCAUUGAUCAAUAGUUGCAAGAGCUAAAUAAUAGAUUCUAUGAGCAGGCGAUCGAGCUUCUUAAGUUGAGCAUAGCUUUAGAUCCUAAAAAUAACUAUAAAUUAUUCAGUGUUGAAGAUAUAUGCUAACUUGUUGACAAGUUCUAUCCUGAAGACUUUUCUGACCAAGAAAAAACUCAUUUGAGAUUUCAGUUGCAGCAUUAUGAGCUUGAUGUACCCAAUCAUCCAAAGUUAAAGAAUAUGUCAUCGAUUGCUGAUUUAUGUCAAGGACUGGUUGAAAUAGAAAAAUCAACAAUUUAUCUACUCAUUGAUAAGUUGAUUCGACUUAUUUUGACUCUUCCUGUUUCGACAGCAACUACUGCACGAGCUUUUUCAGCGAUGAAGAUUGUUAAAACAAGACUUCGCAAUCGGAUGGAGGAUGAUUUUCUUGCAAAUUAUUUGAUUGUCUAUAUAGAAAAAGAAAUUGCUGAAAGAUUCACAAUUGAUAUGAUAAUCGAUGAUUUCUACUCCAUGAAAGAAAGACAAAAACAAUUAAAAUAAAUAUGUAAGAAUCAUUCUUUAUUACUUUUUAUUUUAUUUAAAAGUUUUAUCAAACAUAAAUAAUGUAUCGCUUUAGCUAAUGUUUCUUAUAUAUUUUGUAUGUUUAUAUUUGAUAGGUACAAAAACCAACAAAAUUAAAGUGAUGAAUACAUUAUGAAGAUGAAAUUAACUUCAUAGCUUUGACUUAAUUUGAUAUUUGCUUUAAACAUCUUAUCUUAUACAAAAAUCAUAAUAUGUUUGUAAUUACUUUUUUGAAUAAAACUAAAUCAUGUCGUUUUUGUUUUUGUUUUUAUUUUUAUUUUUAUGUAAAGUAAAUUUUUAAAUAAAUUAUAUCUUUUAUUAUUUUAACCCCCAUUCAAAUAAUCCCAGCCCCUGACCGCAAUAACAAUCAAAAUAAAAUCUAAUUCUACCGGCUGCUAAGAAUACUAAAAUAGUGUAAAUUUUGACUUAAUUCAAUUAUUAGAAUUCGGGGCAGAUAACAGUGUUGAAGAAAAUGUCAGAAAAGUAGGGUAAACAGUACAAAUACCUUGGAUGAUGGUGACUAACGCCGUUUGUUUACGCGGGCGCGGGUGCGGUUGCCUUUUAAUUAAUAAAUAUCGGUAGUUGGAGACUUCUUGUUCUCGAAAAGAAAUAGUUAAUAGUGCCAAUAAUUAAUCUGCUCUCAACUUGCUACAAGCUGUCAUUACUCAUUACCAAAAUAUUAAAGAAACAAAUAUUUCCUAUUAGUAGAAAAGCGAUCUAAUAAAGCGAUUGUUCAGUUGACGUUAUUGAAUUGCUUUUUUAUAAAAAGUUAAUUUUUAAAUAUUUAUAGAUUAUUUUAUAUAUAAAUUUAAAAAAAAUCUUAAAAAAUUUAAAAAUAUAUUUUAAUAUAAUUAAAAAAAACAUUUGAAAAACAAUUAAUAGUAUAGUCUCAGGUCUCAACCACCCAAAAUAUACAUUUGAAAAACAUUUUAUAUACCUUGGAUUAAAUUGUGUUGUAGGUUCCACACCAUUUAAAGCUUGCAAAGAAGGAUUUAAAACACAAUCACGCUAAAGAUUUGCAAUCCAAUAUAAUAUGAAAUAAAACCCCAUUGCAUCACCGGACAUGUGAUCAAUAAUAUUAAAAUACUGUAAAUUUUGAUUUAAUUCAAUUAUUAGAGCUUGAGGCAGCGUGACAAUGUGAAAGAAAAUGUCAGAAAAUCUUGGAUGAUGGUGACCAUAUCAGUAAUUUGAGACAGCAAGUUCUCGAAAGGUAAUAGUUGAUGGUACCAAAAAUUAAACCAGCUCUCAACUCGCUACAAAUAGCUGCCAUGGCCUUUCGUUCUACAUUAUAUUUCUUUUUUUACUUUCAUGGAAUCCUCUUUGCCUUCCACCCCAAUCUUGGAUUCUGGUGAAAGUGCAGAGAGGAAAAAUGAAGCAAAAAAUUACAAUGAAGUAAUGUACACCCUUCCAAAAGUUAAAGGCUUGAGGGGGAAUGAUUAUUACCUGUACCAAGGCUUUUGGUACUCUUCCUUCUUCUUGGAAGGACUCAUGUCUGUUCAAGAGCACUUCAAUCCUCAAUCCACUGAUAUAUUUCUCACCAGUUCUCCAAAAACUGGCACAACUUGGCUUAAGGCCCUCGCUUUUGCUAUUCUUACACGAUCCCGUUUAAGUGGUUCAACAACUAGUUCUUUACUUACCAAGAUGCCACAUGACUGUGUUCCUUUUUUGGAAUAUCACCUUGCUCAAAACCCAAGUAAUCGGGACUUGGCAAUUCCCCUGCUAUCUACUCAUGUUCCUUACAGUUGUUUACCUAAAUCUAUCAUUUCUUCUAGUUGCAAGAUUAUUUACAUUUGCAGGGACGCAAAGGAUGCUUUUGUUUCUUUGUGGUGCUUUUUUCCGCGCAUCAAAUGUCGAAAAAUGUUGAACCUCUUCCUCUGGAAGAGGCCUUUGAGAUGUUUUGCAACGGAAUUUCAGUCUUGGGACCAUAUUGGGACCAUGUUUUAGGGUAUUGGAGAGCAAGAUUUGAGUUCCCUGAGAAGAUAUUGUUCUUGACAUACGAGGAAAUGAAGAUAGACACCGCUGCUCAUGUUAAGAAACUAGCUGAGUUCAUGGGUUGUUCUUUCACCUUCGAGGAAGAGGAGGAAGGGGAGGUGCAAAAGAUAAUAAGCAUGUGUAGUUUUGAGAAGUUGAGCAACUUUGAGGUGAAUAAAAAUGGGAAGCACCGUCCCGUCCGGACACAUCAAUUGCUAUUCAAAAUAGUUUAUACUUUAGGAAAGGUGAGAUAGGCGACUGGGCAAAUCACUUGACACCUGAGAUGGGAGCGCGUCUAGAUGACAUAAUGGAGCGGAAGCUCAAGGGUUCAGGCUUGAAGCUGCCCAGGUGACCGUGCCUGGGGUCCCAUUUGCAUAUGAUUAUUGCCGAAGUGGGUUCAUCAAAAGGUGUUAUCAGGAUGUCGUGAAACAGCAACUGUGUAUCCCAAUAAAUACCCUCUCUGUUCAUAGCAAGUAUUCACAUUUUGUGAAUCUUCCAUGUCAAUAAGCAAUAUUCUUUUGUGAAUCUGUGUUUGUGACUUUCAUUGAUUUCCUUGCAUGUUUGUAAGAAUUCAAAAUGGGAUUCGUUUUUUUUUUUUAUUUAACACAAGUGCAUGCAUUCCAUUCAUCAGUUUGAUAAAAAAUAAAUUUACUCUAAUAUAUAAUAUUAGAGUGUUUUCUUCACAGAAAUUGCAGUGUGUUUUUCUUCACAGCUAUACAUGUUUGAAAAGAACCGAGACAACCAUACAUGAGGGUGGAGCAAAGACCAACCGAGACAACCAUCCAUUAAGAUUGUUGAAUUGCAGAUCAAAUGAACGUAGGCGGCACAUCUACUGAAAGGAUCUCGAAAUGCCUUGUAAUUGGUUAAAAUAAAAGAUCAAGAUCUGUAGGAGAACUCGUGUUUUCCACUCCUAAAAUAAGCCCAGUUGCCGGCUUCAUUUGCAACAGAGACACAUAAAGAAUCUGAAAGCAGUUCUUAUGCACUAUCAGCAAAAUAAUUUGACCAGUCAGAAUGAUUUUUUUCCCCCUUACUAGGCUCAGAUCACAAUCCUUCUUACUUCAAACAAAUCUUUUGGAACCGAUAUGUCGAGGGAUGGCUUGAUUUAUACCGGAGAUUUUGAUGGAAACUUAAAGAAGCGUGGCUUAAUUAUACCUUGGAUGCGCAAAUUGAUUACAGGGAAAAAAUGACAGAAAGUGAGUUGCAGGGAAUGAAAAAGGCAUUUGUAAACUCAACACCUUUCAGGGCAUCGUUCCUUGGUUUACUCCCUUUUAUUUCUUAUUUUGUUUUUCCUGCCAUUGUCUAAGUUUUUCUAACUCGCAGUCUGGUCUCUGCAGAGAAUGAGACAGCAAAAACGCUUUAAGAGAAGAUAUUCUCCGGCAACGGCAUCAAACAGAAAAGUCUGACAUCAACUAAGUGCGUGUUUGACACUCCGGUUAUGUUUACAUAAAAAACAUCGUUGUCAUGUGUUUGGUUACAGUCUAAACAUAAUUUUCUGUUUGUGAGACCCGUUAUCAUUUGCUUUUAAACCGCAAGAUAACCAAAAGCAACUUCAAGCUGCCUUUUGUGUUGAGUUGCAAACUUUAUAAACAAAGGCCACAAGAAAAAGAGCAGAAACAUAGCAGUGAAUAGUAAACAGUGGAGAGUAGCUCCCUCUCACCACCGGCAUCCACCGUUUCCACCGCCAGCCACUGCUCUUCCUCUUCCCCUUCUCCUUCUCCUUUAUCUUCUGCAUUGUCCACUGUUCACGUUGCAUGUGAACAGUGGAGAGCAGCUCACCACCGGCCUCCGCUGUUUCCACCGCCAGCCACUACUCUUCCUCUUUCCCUUCCCCUUCUUCUUCUUCUUCUACAUUUUCCACUGUUCACAUGAACAGUGGAGAGCAUCUCCACUAUUCAUGGCCGGAUUGGGUCUGACCCAAACCUAAAUGCAUUGGACUGGGUCCGACCAAGUAAAAUAAAAAAAUCUAAAAACAUUUCUUAGAUAUUGUGUUUUAUUUGAAAAACUAGUGUUUAAAAUUAUUCAAUGACACUAUAUAAUUAUAUUAGAAGGAGAUCGCAUGAUGACAUAGCAUUUGCAGAAUUUGAUUGCAAUCCCAAUUUUGUUCCUAAUGAUAUUUUACCUGAUGUGAUGAUAUUUUACCUGAUGUUGGUAUACGUUCAAGAAGCCAUGAAAACUGUAGUUCUUGUCGGAUGGAUUUCGUACGUGAUUGAAUUGCAAAUAGUUUAAUAAAACAAUAAAAAAUACUUUAUAUAAAGUAUUGUUUAUUUCAUGAUUUAAUAGCAGUAGUUAAAUCUAUAAUAUUUCAAUUAAAAACCAUCAAUAUUAAUAUAUGUUUUUUUUAAUUAUUUUAUAACCUUAAUUUGAAAAAUAUUCUUUAAACCAAACACAUUAAACUACUUUUUGUUCAACCUCAAUUUCAACCACAAUUUUAACCAAAUAUAUAUUUUUUCAAACCAAUCUCAACUAAAAGUAAUUUUUAUAAAACAACUUUUUCAAACUAUAACCACAACAGCUACCACAAUACCAAAUACACAUAAAAAAAACUGUAAUGAUAAGCAAGUUAAAGUGCCACCAUUGAUUUAGGAUCUGCUUUAGAUCUUAUAAGGUGAAAGUAAAACACAAGGAAAUGCAUGCAUGCACACCACUAAUCUUUGAUUCUGGCGAGAACAGUGAUGACUACACUCAGAACCAUAUAGAAUUACAUUCCAAGAUGAAGAAAUUAAUAACAGAGCAGUGCUAUAAAGCUAAAUGUGAGAACCAAAGAUUAAUAAGCAAUGCUGAAAAUUUUAUCAUGCAUAAGAUGAGAGAAGCACAGGACAGAUUUUAUCAAAUCUAUAGUUUUUCUUCAAUAAUAAUAAUAUUUUUUAAAAAUUUAAUAAUAAUAAAAAAAAAAAACUCAUGUUCCUUGGCUCUUUCUCUUGCCAAACUGAAGCUACCAUAGUCAAAUCCAAGUAACUUAGAUGUCACGCUCUUGCUAAACCCAAGUUAUUUGGGUAUGACAUCUCAUGCUGGACUCAUAGCAUUCCAGAUCAAAGGUGUUGAUAUCUAACAAUAAUACCUCACCCGAGCCCUAAGAUGUGAUUGCUUUUCUAGACCCGAGGGCCAAGGCACCAAGACACUAUUCACUAUAAGUCAAGUCAAUGAAUCAAUCAAUCGAUUUUAAAGAUCAAGUUUUUUUUUUAAUAGAGAAACAAAACUUUUAUUAACAUUGAAAUAACUCUUAAAAUCUUAAUAAAAUUAAUUUGAAGUAAAAAUAAUAUUAAAAGAAAUAUUCAGAAGCACUUUUUGAUUGUAAAAUCAAACACACUAAAAUCAUGUAGAUUUUCAUUUAGACAUUAAAAUUCAAGAAGAAAUUAAGUUCACAGUACUAUUAAUUCAAUCGAUGAAGGAUUAGACCCAACUACUUUAGGGCCACCAUUGACAUUGAUUACUUUGAAUAAUUUUAAUUUAUAGGCAUAAAAAAUUAAUACAUAUCUUUAAGAGGAUCAAUUUUAGAUUAUCUCUCUCUCUCUCUCUCUAUUUUUUUUUUGGUUUUCAAAUAUUUGACAUUUUCGUUUAGAUAAGCUCUAGUGUGUGUUUUUUUAAGAUUAUUUUAAAUCAUGUUUCUUGAAAUGUCAAAAACAUUUCAUGGAUUAAUUUAACUUAAUAACGCCAAAGAAUUAGGAAUUAAAACUGACAAUUUCCACCAUGUAAGAGUACCUAAUUGAAAAUUUACUUUCUUAUCAUUUACCUCAAUUAAGCGGAAGCAUGAUCAUGAGAAGGGAUUUGGAGAAAGAAUUAUAAACAGAGAAUAAGAGAAAAUGUAAUGUGUAUAGAUUUUCUUAAUGAAUUAAUUAUGAUACAACAGAAGCUCAUAUAUAUAUAUAUAUACAUUCUAAACUAAUCAGUUAUGAAAUGUUAUUACAAAUAUAAUUUGAAUUUCAAUUUUAAAAUCAUGAUUAGUGCAGGUUUAUCAAUGCAGCAGAAUAUCCAUCAUAAACAAGAAGUUCACAGUUACAAAGUUUGAAUCUUUGUAACUGUAACUCUCUUUUGAAACUCUCUUCUUGGUCUUCAAUAUCCGUUAGCUAGCUGGAGAUGUAACAGUUACAAAGUUUGAAUCUUUGUAACUGUAACUCUCUUCUUGGUCUUCAAUGUCUGUCAGUUACAAAGUUUGAAUCUUUGUAACUGUAACUCUCUUAUGCUUAACAUUCCCCUGCAAACUGAUGGGGAUAGGAAUCACCAUCAAUUUGGACCGUAAAAACAUAAACCUUGCUGUAGUAUGACCUUUGGUGAAGACAUCUGCAAUCUGGUCAUAUGUUGAAAUAUAUCGUACAAGAAUAUCCUUAUUAAGAACUUUUUCACGGAUGAAGUGAUAAUCCACCUCUAUGUGCUUCGUUCGGGCAUGAAAAACAGGAUUAGAGGCAAGAGAUAUUGCACCUACAUUAUCACACCAUAGUGUAGGAGGUGACGACAAUGAAAUGCCAAGAUCUUGCAAUAACAUUCGAAGCCAAUAUAGUUCAGCAGUGACAAGAGCCAUGGAUCGAUAUUCGGCCUCAGUACUGGAUUUAGACACAACACUUUGUUUCUUUGCACUCCAGGAUAUGAGAUUUUGGCCUAGAAACACAAUAUAACCACUUGUAGAUUUUCUAUCAUCAGGAUUCCCAGCCCAAUCUGCAUCACAGAAAGCAUCUAAUGUUGUUGUCGAUUGAGUGUAGUGAAUACCAUAAUCAAUUGUUCCUUUCAAGUAACGAAGAACUCUUUUGGUAGCAAUCCAGUGUGGUUCUCGUGGAGCAUGCAUGAAUUGGCAUAAUUGGUUCACUGCAUAGCUGAUGUCAGGUCUUGUUAAAGUGCAAUAUUGAAGAGCACCAAUAACUUGAUGAUAUUCAGUUGGAUCAUUCAAUAUCCGUUAGCUAGCUGGAGAUGUAACAGUUACAAAGUUUGAAUCUUUGUAACUGUAACUCUCUUAUGCUUAACAUUUGGGAGGCACUUAGAUUAGGCUCUUCUCUAGUCUUGAGAAGCAAAACCAAUAGAGACGUGAUUGCGCACUCCCUGAGCUAUAUAGUAAGUGGCUGCAAACAAAUUGUCAGCACCAAUUCAGGUCCGGAAAAUUAAAGCAUUGAAGCAUAAAAGGUGACCUAACCUAAUUAAGCAAAUUACUACUUAUUCCAGCAUCACCUAGGAGUGAGACAGCCAGCCCAUCCAGUGUCUACAUGGUAAGGGAAUAAUUCCUUCAAGAAUGCAGAGAAAAUUAUACUUGCAAUACAACUAUAAACGAGAUGGUACAGUGCGGAAGGCAAGAUGUUAAAUCAAUUGAUCUUAUUAUAAUACUGUGAAAUAUGAUCAGGACAAAAAAAUAAAUAAAGAAAGAAAGAGUUGUUUAUUUUACAAUGAUCGAUAUGAUGCUUCUUUGCAUGUGGAAUCUUCGUCAAAGACUUGUUGAAAAUGCCAAAUUGUGAUCCACUUUUGGCUGUGUCAAAUGCAUGGGUGGGGCUUCACACAGAGCUAUUACCCCUUGUGUAAACUCAACGCCAGUUUUCAUGAGUUCUUUGGGAUUCUAACAUAGUAAAAAAAAGAAAGAUAAAAUAACAAAGUGUAAAGAAUAUUUAGUGAAAUAGAUAUUCGUGAUUAAUCAGUAGCAAUUAUUAUAUGCUGGCUCUCUCGGGUUUACUUGACAGAAGAUUUAUUAAAAAGAGUUGAUAAAGGAGAAAGAAAAGAAAAGAAAAUCUUCAAGGUAUAUCAAAACUCUGAUAAUAAUAUUAUUGGUAUUGUUAAAAAAAUCUCGACAAGACAAAUCGAAAAAUAACAAUGAAGGUCAUCAAUGACGAUAAAAAUAAGUCAUACGAGUGGCCCAAGAUAAGUGAGUUUUAAUACUUUUGAACAGCUUGUAUGAUUCAUUUUAUUCACUAUUUAUAAUCUUUUUUGAUGCUGUUAAAUUCAUCUUGUAAUGAUGUUGAUAAUGUUAUCAUUAUAAUUUCAAUGUAUUUUUAUUUUUAUUAUUAUUUUUUGUUUUGCUCUCUCUCCUCUCUCAUUGUAAUUUAUGAAGAGUAAGAGAGGGGGAAAAAAAAAACCCUAGUCUUCCAAUUUAAUCUGGCUGAAUACUACUAUCUCAAUCUUAUUCACUACUUUGUCAAAGCAAAGUAGAUUUUUCCUUAAAUAAGAUCUAAUCCACCGGCGGAUAGGUGAUCAAGAAUAUUAAAUUAGUGUAAAACUUGAUUUAAUUCAACAUUAUAAUUAGAGGUGCUAUAAUAAUGUGAAAAAAAGAAUAAAAAAACUAGAUGAUGGCGACCACAUAUCAAUAAUUCCAGACAUCACGUGGAGCACUUUCAUCAUCAUUAUUAUUAUUGGUAUAAUAAUGUUUGUUGUAUUAUUUUUUAAUUGUUAAGUUGUUUACUAUAUGUUAAAAUUUCAAGAUCUUCAAAGAUUGGGAAGAUCGGAUCUAAAGUUACUAUGGGACUGUCUUUAUUUUCCUAUUUGGAUUUUUUUAUUUAUAUUAAGAAUUUAAAUUUAAUUAGUAUUUUAUUAUUUAAAAAUUUUAAUGGUAAAUUGAUUCUAUUAGUUAGGUAAAUUUUAAAUAUAAAUUAUUUUUCUAUACAAAAUUUUAAAUCUAGAACUAAUAUAAAUAAAAAUAUUUAGUUUAUUUUUGUUCGAGGAUUCAUAUUAUUAUUUAAAUUUUUUUAUAAAUAUUUAGAGAUUUUUUCUAAUUUCCUAUGGUGUUAGGGAUUAUAACCUUAAGGUUUGGUUUGAAAUAAUGAUGACAGUUAUUUCUUAAAGUGUUUUUCACUUGAAAAUACAUUAAAAUAAUAUUUUUUUUAUUUUUUAAAUUUUUUUUUGAUAUCAGCAUAUCAAAACAAUUCAAAAACACCAAAAACUUAAUUUGAAAAAAAAUCAAAAUUUAUAAAAACCCCGGUUAAAAUGUUUUACCAAACACUUCUUAGUUUUUAAUAUUAAUACAUCAAAACAAUCCAAAAAUAUUAAUUUAAAAUUUUUAAAAACUCCGGUUGCGUUUGUAAGAUGUGUUGCGGCUCUCAACUUGCUACAAUGGCCUUUCUUUAAUAUUUUAUUUACACCAUUCAUGGAACCCUCUUUGCCUUCCACACAAAUCCCGGAUUUUGGUGAAACUGCUAAGAGGAAAAAUGAAGAGCUUUCCAAAGGCCAUGCUAAAACUACAAAGAAGUGAUCUCUACCUUUCCAGAAGUUAAAGGCUUUUGGGACGUUCCGCUCUUCUUGGGAAGACUCAUGUCAGUUCAAGAACACUACAAGCCUCAAUCCACUGAUAUAUUUGUCGCCAGCUUUCCAAAAACGAAGGAAAUCUUUGGUUAAUGUUCUCUGAAUCUCUCCUUUUCUCCUUCAAGAGUGAAAUUUAUGUGCCUUUCGUACCUUUUUACGUUAGAACAUUUCAUUUGUUCUUGUUUUCUAAAUUGAGUCUUUUCUAUGCGUUUUAUUAUUUUAUUUAUUGGGUAUUUGAGAGUGUAGUAAUAGUUAUAAUUUAAAGUGUUUUUAUUCAAAAAUAUAUUAAAAUAAUAUAUAUUUUUAAUUUUUUAAUAUUCAUCUUUUGACAACAUCACUCCAAAACAUUAGAAAACAUAAAAAAAAAAAAAACAAUUAGAAAACAAUUAGAAAACGCAAGAUUGCAUCAAUGCUAAAUGCAAUAUAUAUAUAUAGGUGCGCGCGCGCGCGUGUGUGAGAGAGAGAGAGAUCCACCUGUGUGUGAAAUGCAUAGUGAUGUUCCACAGCGAGCCAUUAUCUAUUAUGUAAAAUCUCUGAGAAAUGUCAUAGAUCAAUUGGUCGAUAUAGCAAAUUGAUAGGUUAAAGCUGCUCAUAAUCAAUACCUCUAAAAGAUUAUCUUUGGUGGAGAUGAAAACUUUUUGAUAUGUAAAUAAGUAUUUAAAAAAAAAUUAAAUAUUCUAUAAAGAGAUGUUCUGAAAAUACAAAUGCAGUAGAGAAUUGGAGAUUGUGAAUCUUUAUUAUGAAGGUCUCAUGAUAUAUUUAUAGCUCGAAUCUUGUCAUUUUGUGAAAAUAAGAGUUUGCAGUGUAAUUAACCUGAUAACAUUUAAUGAGGAAUAAAUAUCAUUUACAUGAUGGGAAUAUGGUGGGUCCUCGAAGGAGUUUUAUACACCUUAAAAGGUAUCAGAAAAUUAGAGUUUAAGAUAUCAAGUGUAGCUGAGCUUAUAGAGAUCAAGUUCUUUCUUGAGAUUAAAUCCAAGGGAGGUUUGUCAUUCCCCUGGACAUGCCAAGGAAGAAUGGUUAUUAUCUUGGACUUGGUUGGUUGCCAAAUCCAAGCAUCUUGGGCAUGACAUGCGUGCCAGAUCCACACUACCUUGAAGUUGGAGCACUACUAAGUCCAAGCGCCUCGGGUCUGACAUGCAUGCCAGACUUAUACUACGCUGGACUUGGUGCAUUACUAAGUCCAAAUGCCUUGGGUCUGAUAUGCCUGUUAGACCUAUAUUAUCUUGGGCUUGACGCAUUACUAUAUUCAAGCACCUUGAACUUAAUUAAUUGUCAAGUCCAUGCAUCUUAGAUUUAGAUCUAACAUAUACACUAGACUCAUAUUACAUUGAAUCUAGCGCAUUACAAAGUUAUAAUGCCUUGAAUUAAGUAUAUGUGCCACAUCCAUACAUUUUAAAAAACCAAACGAAAACUAAAUAAAAAGUUGACUCAUCGCUAAUCUAUAAAUACUAUCUACAUAAUGGCCUUAGUUGAUAUCUUCUACCGCUUACUACAUUUACUUGAAUAAUGAAAAUGUUUUUUUUUUUUAAUGGAAAAGAGAUUUUAACUCCAUCUUCAAUUACUAUAUAAAUGUUUCCUUGGGUUUUGAAAACGCAAUCAUGCUAAAAAUUUAUUAUCUAAUAUAAAAUAAAAUGUAUUUGUUUUUAUAUUUUAAAAAUGUUUUUUUUUUAAUUUUUUAAUUUUCAUCUUGUUUUGAUGUGUUAAUAUUAAUAAUAAAUUUUAAAAAUAAAAAAAAUAUUAUUUUAAUAUAUUUUUUAAAUUAAAAAUAUUUUAAAAAAUAACUAUUACAACAUUAACGAAUAAGAUUUAAUAUAAAAAACAUUCUAAUUGCAUCAGCUGAGAGGUGAUCAACAAUACCGCAUUCCCGAACUUCACAUCCCUAUAUUAAUGGAUUGUGUUGUGGGCUCCACGCCAUUUAAAGCUUGUAAGAGAAACCACACCUCUAAAUAGAAACCACACGAUCACGCUAAAAGAUUUGCUAUCGAAUAUAAUAUGAAAUAAAACCCAAUUGCAUCAGCGGACAUGUGAUCAAUAAUAUUAAAAUAAGGUAAUAGUUGAUGGGCCACAAAUUAAACCAGCUCUCAACUCGCUACAAAUAGCUGCCAUGGCCUUUCAUUCUACGUUAUAUUUUCAUUUUUUACAUUCAUGGAAUCCUCUUUGCCUUCCACCCAAAUCUCGGAUUCUGGUGACAGUGCAGAGAGGAAAAAUGAAGCUAAAAAUUACAAUGAAGUGAUGUCCACCUUUCCGAAAGUUAAAGGCUUGAAUGGGUAUGAUUAUUACCUGUACCAAGGCUUUUGGUACGCUCCCUUCUUCUUGGAAGGACUCUUGUCUGUUCAAGAGCGCUUCAAUCCUCAAUCCACUGAUAUAUUUGUCGCCAGUUGUCCAAAAACUGGCACAACUUGGCUUAAGGCCCUCACUUUUGCUAUUUUCACACGAUCCCGUUUAAGUGGUUCAACAACUAGUUCUUUACUUACCAAGAUGCCACAUGACUGUGUUCCUUUUUUGGAAUAUCACCUUGCUCAAAACCCCAGUAAUCGGGACUUGGCAAUUCCUCUGGUAUCUACUCAUGUUCCUUGCACUUGUUUACCUAAAUCUAUCAUUUCUUCUUGUUGCAAGAUUAUUUACAUUUCCAGGGACGCAAAGGAUGCUUUUGUUUCUUUGUGGUACUUUCUUGCCAGGCUGCAAAUGUCGAAAAAUGUUGAACCUCUUCCUCUGGAAGAGGCAUUUGAGUUGUUUUGCAAUGGAAUUGCAAAUUUUGGACCAUAUUGGGACCAUGUUUUAGGGUAUUGGAGAGCAAGCUUCGAGUUCCCUGAUAUUGUUCUUGACAUACGAGGAAAUGAAGAAAGACACCGCUGCUCAUGUUAAGAAACUAGCUGAGUUCAUGGGUUGUUCUUUCUGUUGCAUUAAACUCAAUCUAGAAGGUUAAGGAAGGCAACCACCACUUGCAGCCACUAGCUGUCACCGCCUAGCCGCCAGCCGUCUUCAUACUUGAAAGUUGAAUUAUCUUGUUUUUGAAUUCUGUGUAUAAAUAGAUAGCUAAGUGGAUGUUAUUCUGUGUGGAAAGAGAAGAAAGAAACACUAGAGAGAAAGAGAGAGGGAGUGUGUAGCUUUUGUUUAAUUAUUGUAAGCUUUUAUUGUUGAAAUAAAACAGUGUGUUUUAUCUCUUCUGAGUGUUUCAAAGCCACCACCAGUGGUUUCUCCCACCAACAAUUGGUAUCAGAGCCUCGUUCGUCACAAAACACAAGUAUUUUGGGAGAUACACGAAUUUUCAAAGUUGUCAAAAACAAUUUUUGAUCAUUCCACAAUGUAGAGCUCAUCCAUACGAACUCACUGGUGCAAAAAUCAGCUUCAUCGGAGCCCGAGGUGAUCCCCACGCGCCUCCUGAAAUUCCGGUAACUGUAGCCCAGUCUCACCCACGCGCUCCAGAGGUUGAAGACGCCAGAGGUUGAAGACGAGUGUCGUCCACGCGCGCCAUAUUCGAGCCGAUCCCCAGCCGAGCCGAUCUUUAGCCUCAGCCGAGCCGAUAGAAUAUUCCCCAGAAUAUUCCCGGUUCAACCCCAGCGAACCGCCUAACGUCCAGAAUCGGUUUUCAGACCGGUUCAGCCUAUUUCUGACCCAUUUUCAUCCAAGUCAGGCCGGUUCCCUACUGUUUUGAGCAUUCUGGAUCCAUCUACGGUGUCUGUUUUGCCAAAUUCAACUCCCAGAAGGUGAUAUAGUCAUUCAAAAAGCAAAAUGACUACAGAAAAUGCACAAACACUCAUCCCGAAGCUGACCAAAGACAACUAUGAUAGUUGGUGUAUCAGAUUGAAGGCAUUUCUUGGUUUACAAGAGUGUAUAGAGAUUGUGCAAUAUGGUUAUGAUGAACCAGAGUCUAAAGAAGUAGAAGAUACUUUAAAUGAGGCAGAAAAGCAAGUCCUCAAAGCAAAUAGAAAGAAAGACAACAAAGCAAAGACCAUAAUCUAUCAAGGUCUUGACGAAGCUAUAUUCGAAAUUAUUGCUUCCGCAGAAACAUCAAAAGAGAUAUGGGAGGCUCUCCAACAAAAAUACAAAGGUGCUGACAGAAUCAAGAAGAUUCGUCUCCAAUCUUUGCGAGGUGAGUUUGAAUUAUUGCAAAUGAAGGCCUUAGAAUCUAUUUUUGACUAUCACACAAGAAUUAUGGUGAUAGUCAAUCAGAUGAGAAGAAAUGGAGAAGCCCUCACAGAUGCUCGGAUUACAGAGAAAAUUUUGAGAUCCCUAUAUCCAAAAUUUUAUUUUGUUGUUGUCGUUAUUGAAGAGUCCAAAGAAGUGGACAAGUUGAUGGUGGAUGAGCUUAUGAGUUCUUUGCAAGCUCAUGAGCAAAAGAUCGUGAAAAGAAAUGGAGAUAAGGCAAUUGAGCAUGCCUUACAAGCAAAGUUGUCUCUCAAAGACAGAUAUGAGCAAGGGGAGACUUCAAUAAGUGGAUAUACCACUCAAGGAAGAAGUCCACAAAGACGAGGAGGAUUUCAGCAAUUCCAAGGAAGAGGAUCUUGGAAUACAGGUUUUAGAGGAAGAGGUGGCAGAUAUACCACUAGAGGAGGCCGAGGACAACAAUCAUUCACUCCUAAAGGAAGAGGAGGCGGUUACAAUAACCGUGACAAGAGGAAUAUCCAGUGUUAUAAGUGCAAUCAAUUUGGGCACUAUAGCAUUGAAUGUCAAAGGAAAGCUCCAUUAGAGGUACGUGAGCAUGCAAACUAUGCAGAGGAGGAUGCCAACAGCAGAGGAGCAGCUGCAUUAUUUGUCCAACAAGGACUUGACAAGAAUCAAGAGAAUAUUUGGUAUCUUGAUUCUGGAGCCAGCAAUCACAUGUGUGGCCAACGAGAUCUAUUUGGCGAUCUAGAUGAGACCAUACAAGGUCUAGUCACCUUUGGAGAUACAUCAAAAGUUCCAUUCAAAGGUAAAGGCAACAUCCCAAUCAAGUUGAAGAAUGGCGAUCAUAGCUACAUCGCCAAUGUCUACUAUGUCCCAGCCAUAAAGCAAAACUUGGUGAGCAUAGGUCAACUUCUAAAGAAAGGUUAUACACUUUUCAUGAAGAAUUGUCAUCUGACAGUUACAGACUACAAUGGGAGAUUAAUUGCCUAUGUGAAAAUGUCCAAGAAUAGGAUGUUUCCUUUAAACAUCCAAUAUGAUGCAGCAAAGUAUUUGAGUGCCAUCACCAACAGUGAAGAGUGGCUUUGGCACCUGAGGCUUGGACAUCUGAAUUUCACAAGUCUGAAGAUGCUAGCAAGCAAGAAGAUGGUCAAAGGUAUGCCCCACAUUGAUCAUCCAGAUGAAGUCUGUGAGAGUUGUGUCCUCAGCAAACAUCACAGAUCCAAUUUUGCCAAAGAAGUCAACUGGAAAGCAAACAAGCCACUGGAGUUAGUGCACACAGAUGUGUGUGGUCCCAUAAAGCCUAUGUCGACUGGACCAAAUAGGUACUUCCUUACUUUCAUUGAUGAUUUUAGCAGAAAGACGUGGAUAUACUUUCUGAAGAGGAAGUUAGAAGUGUUCAAUUGUUUUAAAGAUUUUAAAGCAAUUGUUGAGAAGCAAAGUGGCUAUAAGAUCAGAACCGUGAGAUCUGAUCAAGGUGGAGAAUAUACAGCAAAUGACUUUGAAGCCUUUUGUACACAACAAGGCAUCAAACAUCAGACAACACCAGCUUAUACACCACAGCUGAAUGGUGUAGCUGAAAGAAAGAAUCGAACGAUUCUUGACAUGGCGAGAAGUCUACUCAAAGCAAAGAAGCUGCCCAAACAAUACUAGGCUGAAGCUGUAUCAUGUGCAGUGUAUCUACUGAAUCGCUGCCCAACCAAAAGUUUGCAAGCUGUCACUCCACAAGAAGCAUGGAGUGGUCACAAACCAAGUGUUACUCAUCUUCGAGUCUUUGGUUGUGUGGCAUAUGCAAAGAUCCCAGAUGCAAGAAGGACCAAACUCGAUGAUAAAAGCGAGAAAUGCAUCUUUGUCGGAUAUGGUGAGAGAAAGAUGGGAUACAAGCUGUAUAAUCUCAUCACAAAGAAGGUAAUUAUGAGUAGAGAUGUUAUCUUUGAAGAAGAUAAAACAUGGCAAUGGAAGGAUGACCAAGAAGCAGUCAAAUGGAUCAGCACUGAUUUGAUCCUUGAAGAUGAAGUGGAAGUACCACCAGUACUUGCAGAAGGUCUGAUAUUACCGGCAGAUGAGCCACAAAGUUCGGUACACAGAUUCCCUGUAUUCAACAGGAGAAACACACCAGAAUCAUCAUCAGCAUCCUCAUCAGAAGGACCAAGAAGGAUGAGAAAUCUAGACGAGUUGUACGAUGUCAUGCAAGUCAUGGAAGAUACAACUCUAUUUUGUUUCUUUACAGAUACUGACCCACUUAGCUUCAAUGAAGUUAUCAAAGAAGAGAAGUGGAUAUAAGCAAUGGAUGAAGAAAUACAUGCUAUUGAGAAGAAUGACACCUGGAAGCUGACUAAUCUACUAGAAAACAAGAAAGCAAUAGGUGCCAAAUGGGUCUAUAAGACAAAGAAGAAUGCAAAAGGAGAAGUGCAAAGAUACAAAGCAAGAUUAGUAGCAAAAGGCUACAAAUAAAGAGAAGGCAUUGACUAUGGAGAAGUAUUUGCUCCAGUAGCCCGGCUAGAGACAAUCAGACUGAUGAUCUCACUAGCUGCACAACAUAGAUGGAAGAUCUAUUAACUCGAUGUGAAGUCAGCAUUUCUGAAUGGCUUCCUAGAAGAAGAGAUCUAUGUUGAACAACCACUUGGAUACAUCGAAGCUGAAAAUGACGGCAAAGUAUACAAGUUGAAGAAAGCUCUCUACGGUUUGAAGCAAGUUCCGCGUGCUUGGAAUACCAGAAUUGACAGGUAUUUUCAAGAAAAUGAAUUUGAAAAAUGUCCAUAUGAACACGCAAUAUAUGUGAAGAAAGAAGCAGAUAACAACAUAUUAUUUGUGUGCCUAUAUGUUGAUGAUUUGCUAUUCACCGGCAACAACCCAACCAUGUUUGAAGCCUUCAAGAAAAGCAUGGUACAAGAGUUUGAGAUGACAGACAUUGGUCUGAUGGCACACUUUCUUGGCUUAGAAGUGGUGCAGAAAGAAGAAGGGAUUUUUGUAUCCCAAAGCAGUUAUGCCAAAGACAUUCUUGAAAGGUUCAAGAUGGAAAGCUGCAAUCCGGUAUCAACUCCAGUUGAGAAUGGAGUAGAAUUGAGGAAGAGUAAAGUUGGAAAUGUUGAUCCAACUUACUUCAAAAGCUUAGUAGGAAGCUUAAGGUACUUGACAUGUACCAGACCGGAUAUACUCUACGGAGUUGGUCUUAUCAGCAGAUACAUGGAGACACCAGACCAGUCUCACUUGAAUGCAGCCAAGAGAAUUCUUCGCUACAUCAAAGGAACAAUCAAUGAAGGUAUGUUUUAUACCUCAAGUACAAACUUCAAUCUUGUUGGCUACUCGGAUAGUGAUUGGGGUAGAGAUCUGGAUGAAAGGAAAAGCACAACAGGGUUUGUCUUUUUCAUGGGAAAUACAUUUUUCACAUGGUCAUCCAAGAAGCAAUCGAUAGUAACGUUAUCAAGCUGUGAAGCUGAGUAUGUUGCUGCCAACUCAGCUGUAUGCCAUUUAAUAUGGUUAAGAAAUAUGCUGAAGCAUUUGGGAUUUCCUCAAGAAGAUCCCACAGAGAUUUAUAUUGAUAAUCGAUCAGCGAUUGCAUUAGCAAAGAACCCGGUGUAUCAUGAACGAAGUAAACACAUUGAUACACGUCAACACUUUAUCCGAGAGCAUAUAAAGAACAAAGAAGUCGAGCUGAUAUCCUGCAAGACAAAUGAUCAAGUUGCAGAUAUCUUUACAAAGCCAUUGAAGGGAGAAACAUUUAUCAGACUGAAGUUCAUACUUGGCGUGACAUCCCUCGAUUAAGUUUAAAGGGGGGAUUUGUUGCAUUAAACUCAAUCUAGAAGGUCAAGGAAGGCAACCACCACUUGCAACCACCAGCUGUCACCGCCCAGCCACAAACCGCCCAGCCGCCAGCCACUAGCUGUAUGCCGCCAGCCUCCAGCCGCCUUCACACUUGAAGGUUGAAUUAUCUUGUUUUUGAAUUCGUGUAUAAAUAGGUAGCUAAGUGGAUGUUAUUCUGUGUGGAAAGAGAAGAAAGAAACACUAGAGAGAAAAGAGAGGGAGUGUGUAGCUUUUGUUUAAUUAUUGUAAGCUUUUAUUGUUGAAAUAAAACAGUGUGUUUUAUCCCCUCUGAGUGUUUCAAAGCCACCACCAGUGGUUUCUCCCACCAACACUUUCACCUUAGAGGAAGAGGAGGAAGGGGAGGUGCAAAAGAUAAUAAGCAUGUGUAGUUUUGAGAAGUUGAGCAACUUGGAGGUGAAUAAAAAUGGGAAGCACCGUCCGGACACAUCAAUUGCUAUUCAAAACAGUGUAUACUUCAGGAGAGGUGAGAUAGGCGACUGGGCAAAUCACUUGACACCUGAAAUGGGAGCACGUCUAGAUGACAUAAUGGAGCAGAAACUCAAGGGUUCAGGCUUGAAGCUGCCGAGGUGAAUGUGCCUAGGGUCCCAUUUGCUUGUGAUUAUUGCCGAAGCGGGUUCAUCAAAAGCUGUUAUCAACAUCUCGUGAAACAGCAACUGUGUAUCCCAAUAAAUACCCUCUCUGUUCAUCUCUUGUAUUUCCCAGCAAGUAUUCACAUUUUGUGAAUCAUCCAUGUCAAUAAGCA